rnacentral:rRNA from 1 species
GACAGAGGGGGCAAGCGUUGCUCGGAAUCACUGGGCGUAAAGGGUGCGUAGGCGGGGCUUUCAGUCAGGGGUGAAAUCCUGGAGCUCAACUCCAGAACUGCCUUUGAUACUGAAGAUCUUGAGUUCGGGAGAGGUGAGUGGAACUGCGAGUGUAGAGGUGAAAUUCGUAGAUAUUCGCAAGAACACCAGUGGCGAAGGCGGCUCACUGGCCCGAUACUGACGCUGAGGCACGAAAGCGUGGGGAGCAAACAGG